CCGGCGACCGGCGCACGGUGAGUAACACGUAUGCAACCUGGCCGUGACAGAUGGAUAACCGGGAGAAAUCCCGCCUAAUACAGCAUGACGCCGGGAAGGGACAUCCCUUUCCGGCCAAAGGGGGCGACUCCGGUCACGGAUGGGCAUGCGGCGCAUUAGGUAGUUGGUGGGGCAACGGCCCACCAAGCCGACGAUGCGUAGGGGUUCUGAGAGGAAGGUCCCCCACAUUGGAACUGAGACACGGUCCAAACUCCUACGGAAGGCAGCAG
rnacentral:rRNA from 1 species